UACGGAGGCAGCAGUGGGGAAUAUUGCACAAUGGGCGAAAGCCUGAUGCAGCUAUGCCGCGUGUAUGAAGAAGGCCUUAGGGUUGUAAAGUACUUUCAUCGGGGAGGAAAAACAAAACUAAUAAUUUUAUUUCUUGACGUUACCCGAAAAAGAAGCACCGGCUAACUCCGUGCCAGCAGCCGCGGUAAUACGGAGGGUGCUAGCGUUAAUCAGAAUUACUGGGCGUAAAGAGCACGUAGGUGGUUUUUUUAAGUCAGAUGUGAAAUCCCUGGGCUUAACCUAGGAACUGCAUUUUGAAACUGAAAUACUAGAGUAUCGUAGAGGGAGGUAGAAUUCUAGGUGUAGCGGUGAAAUGCGUAGAUAUCUGGAGGAAUACCUGUGGCGAAAGCGGCCUCCUAAACGAAUACUGACACUGAGGUCGCGAAAGCGUGGGGAGCAAACAGGGAUUAGAUACC
rnacentral:rRNA from 1 species